AUCACCUGGGGACCUUGUUAAAGGGCAGAUUCUGAUUCGUAGGCCUGCCUGGGUGUGUGCCUGAGACUCUGCAUUUCUAACAAGCUCCCAGUCGAUGCUGG
rnacentral:pre_miRNA from 1 species